UACAGAGGUCCCGAGCGUUGUUCGGAUUCACUGGGCGUAAAGGGUGCGUAGGUGGUGAGGUAAGUCGGAUGUGAAAUCUCCGGGCUCAACCCGGAAAUGGCAUUGGAAACUACCUUGCUUGAGGAUUUGAGGGGGGAUUGGAAUACUUGGUGUAGCAGUGAAAUGCGUAGAUAUCAAGUGGAACACCAGUGGCGAAGGCGAAUCCCUGGAAAAUACCUGACACUGAGGCACGAAAGCUAGGGGAGCAAACAGG
rnacentral:rRNA from 1 species